CAGCCGCCACGGGAAUACAGAGGGUGCGAGCGUUAAUCGGAUUUACUGGGCGUAAAGCGUGCGUAGGCGGCUAAUUGAGUCGGAUGUGAAAUCCCCGAGCUUAACUUGGGAAUUGCAUUCGAUACUGGUUAGCUAGAGUGUGGGAGAGGAUGGUAGAAUUCCAGGUGUAGCGGUGAAAUGCGUAGAGAUCUGGAGGAAUACCGAUGGCGAAGGCAGCCAUCUGGCCUAACACUGACGCUGAGGUACGAAAGCAUGGGGAGCAAACAGGAUUAGAUACCCGCGUAGUCCCUGUCUCUUAUAC
rnacentral:rRNA from 1 species